ACAAGUGGCUGGCAGCGUCCCCGCCGUAAAGUACCGUUAACUAAAAUGGCAUUCACAUAUUUUACAUAUGUAUGUAAAAACAGCUAGGACGAAUGUAAAUUACAAACACCGAUGGACGUUCAGAUAUCUAUGUAGGAACAAUGAGGACGAAUGGAAACUAUGGAAUGGAAUGGAAACACCAAUGGAAGUUCAGAGGCAACUUUGAACCGGGCCAACACCUCUAGCUCUAUUCUUUAGCCUGGUUUUUUCGCCCAAACAUUCGUAGAAGCGUGCGAAUUCCUGGAAACACUGCCGUCACUAUCGGUUCUAUUAAUAUCUGAAAAAAUAUAUGGAUAUGGAUGGAGUGGAAGUGGAAGUGGAUGAGGAAGUGGUGGUGCUAUUGGGUGGAGGGCACUUGGAGGGAUCG